GAUGAACGCUAGCUACAGGCUUAACACAUGCAAGUCGAGGGGCAGCAUGUCGGUUGCUUGCAACCGAUGAUGGCGACCGGCGCACGGGUGAGUAACGCGUAUCCAACCUACCCUUGUCCAUCGGAUAACCCGUCGAAAGGCGGCCUAACACGAUAUGCGGUUCACAGCAGGCAUCUAACGUGAACGAAAUGUGAAGGAGAAGGAUGGGGAUGCGUCUGAUUAGCUUGUUGGCGGGGUAACAGCCCACCAAGGCUAGGAUCAGUAGGGGUUCUGAGAGGAAGGUCCCCCAAAUUGGAACAGAGACACGGUCCAAACCCCUACGGGAGGCAGCAGUGAGGAAUAUUGGUCAAUGGACGAGAGUCUGAACCAGCCAAGUAGCGUGCAGGAUGACGGCCCUAUGGGUUGUAAACUGCUUUUAUAGGGGGAUAAAGUGUGCCACGUGUGGCAUAUUGCAGGUACCCUAUGAAUAAGGACCGGCUAAUUCCGUGCCAGCCGCCGCAGUAAAAC
rnacentral:rRNA from 1 species